rnacentral:misc_RNA from 1 species
GAAAUGCGAUAAGUAAUGUGAAUUGCAGAAUUCAGUGAAUCAUCGAAUCUUUGAACGCACCUUGCGCUCCUUGGUAUUCCUUGGAGCAUGCCUGUUUGAGUAUCAUGAAAUCUUCAAAGUAAAUCUUUUGUUAACUCAAUUGGUUUCUACUUUGGUAUUGGAGGUCUUUGCAGCUUCACACCUGCUCCUCUUUGUUCAUUAGCUGGAUCUCAGUGUUAUGCUUGGUUCCACUCGGCGUGAUAAGUUAUCUAUCGCUGAGGACACUGUAAAAGGUGCCAAGGUAAAUGCAGAUGAACCGCUUCUAAUAGUCCAUUGACUUGGACAAUACUUUUAUGAUCUGAUCUCAAAUCAGGUAGGACUACCCGCUGAACUUAAGC